rnacentral:rRNA from 1 species
UACGAAGGGGGCGAGCGUUGUUCGGAAUUACUGGGCGUAAAGGGCGCGCAGGCGGCCUUUGAAGUCAGGCGUGAAAGCCCCGGGCUCAACCUGGGAAUUGCGCUUGAUACUCGAAGGCUCGAGUACGGGAGAGGAGAGUGGAAUUCCCAGUGUAGAGGUGAAAUUCGUAGAUAUUGGGAAGAACACCGGUGGCGAAGGCGGCUCUCUGGACCGUAACUGACGCUGAGGCGCGAAAGCGUGGGGAGCAAACAGG